GAUGAACGCUGGCGGCGUGCCUAAUACAUGCCAGUCGAGCGAACGGACGAGAAGCUUGCUUCUCUGAUGUUAGCGGCGGACGGGUGAGUAACACGUGGAUAACCUACCUAUAAGACUGGGAUAACUUCGGGAAACCGGAGCUAAUACCGGAUGAUAUUUUGAACCGCAUGGUUCAAAAGUGAAAGACGGUCUUGCUGUCACUUAUAGAUGGAUCCGCGCUGCAUUAGCUAGUUGGUAAGGUAACGGCUUACCAAGGCAACGAUGCAUAGCCGACCUGAGAGGGUGAUCGGCCACACUGGAACUGAGACACGGUCCAGACUCCUACGGGAGGCAGCAGUAGGGAAUCUUCCGCAAUGGGCGAAAGCCUGACGGAGCAACGCCGCGUGAGUGGUGAAGGUCUUCGGAUCGUAAAACUCUGUUAUUAGGGAAGAACAUAUGUGUAAGUAACUGUGCACAUCUUGACGGUACCUAAUCAGAAAGCCACGGCUAACUACGUG
rnacentral:rRNA from 1 species